rnacentral:lncRNA from 1 species
GUAAUUUGGAACGGAGUACAUGAGAACGUAUCUGGUGAAACGACUGAAUUGGUGCACCAGAUGCACCAGCUAUGUAUGGGCCGCUGGAUUCGAAAGAAAGGGACAUGAUUCAGUGCGAUGAUGGGCCUGAUGGUACAUUUGCAGACCAGUCCUUGCAGCUCAGCUAAAUCCAACGAAUUGGCCUCCCCGUACUCAGAUCGUCUUCCUCCCCUUUGCCAGAUUCUGUACCAGUACAUCCUCCUGGAGCUAGGGUUAAGGUCCAGCGAGCUCAAAGAUGGAUCUCAGGCCGUCUCUCCCUCUUCUGUACCACUCAGGCGAAUUAGGGUUAUUAAAUUUCGACGAUCUCUCUCAACAAUCCGCCGCCGCCGCCGUCAGCACUAUCCAUCGACAGCUGCUCAAGGAUGUAGGUAUGUUCGCUUCUUCCUCUAUCCAUCUUGUUCCAGUUGACUAAAGGGCAUGUUUUUGUUGAUUAAGAAUUGGAAUAGUGUGCUGUGAGCACCAAAUUUAGGUAUGAACUGUGACUAUUUCUACAAUCUGCAUGCCAAUUAGAAGGGAUGUACUCCCUGUUUUCAUCCUUUAUUGAUAAACAAUAUUAAAGAGAACGUGUACUUACAGAGUCUAACUGAAUUUCGUGAAAGCAUUACGAGUUCAUCUUAUUGAUUUUGUUAUCUAGUUCGUCCUUUACUCAUCAUCAAUUUAUCUUUUUAUAGUUACAAAAACAUUUUUAGCUAACUACUGCUGAGCCAAAUCAAAUAUGUAUCACCAAUGGUGCAUCGCUACUUCUCUAGUAGUGAUUGUCCUUUGUAUUCUAAAAAUGUGAUACUUUGGAAUCCAAUGUUAUUUCCACACAUAGAUGCCUAUGAUUGUAGGUUAGGGUGUCACUACUAAGUUUAGCUUGGCUCCCCUGAUGCCACCAUUAUUUUGUUUGAAGGUCAUUAUGGAGUCUCAUUGCCUGGAGCCGGUAAAUCUGUUGAAGAGCCUGAGCUAUGACUGGGUAAUCUUCAGAGGAGUCAUCUUCAUAGGUCUCCAAGAUGGCAUUGAUGAAACUGAUAAUUUCACCUCUAGUACUAGUCUAGAUCGUGUAUGGUUGUCUCAGGCAGUCAGGCUUCAGUUUUUGUAGCACCAUGUAAUCAUCAAGAAUGUACAUUUGCUAGAAAAUCUUGUAUGCAGGUUUUCUGUAGUUUACAUGAGUGGUUGUUGUAUAAUAUGCAGAUGCUUGUGUUGUUCCGAUGUGAAAAACGUGAUGUUCUUGCAUAGAAGCAUCUAAAGAAAAUGUAUUCAGAUAUCCUUUUGUUGUUACCGGUACUGAUUUAGCAGGGCAGCAAUAAAAGUUGAUUGAUAUGAUAAACAAGAAUACAGUAUGAAGUCCCAGGUUGUGCGUAUCUUUCCAC